UAUCUGCAUUUGCACCUGCACCUUCUCUCUAUUAAACCUUAUAAGCUUGCUACUUGUUUGGGAUACAAAGAGAAAGGUGCAGGUGCUAUAUGCAGACAAAUGCCUUCUCGGUUUUCUCUCUUCUUUCUUGGCCUCUUGUCUCUUUUACUCGCUAUAUAUGGAAGCUGAAGGAGCUUCAUGGAUCUACUGAGUUCAAGUCUACCCAGCUUCUGAUAUCAUAUCCUAUUGUUUUACAGAUUUCUAAUUGCUUCCCAAUACCAGCAAGAAGAAAAGGGUACUGGCUGUUGAUGCUUAUCGUUACUUAAUUUCCCAUCAUAAGUAAGGGAUAUAUAUUUUAAAAUAUAAUUAGAAAAUUGUAUAAAUUGAUUUAAAAUUAAAAUUUAUUUAGUUACAAGAAUUUUAAAAUAAUUAAUAUUUAAAAAAAUAUAUUUUUAAUCUUUUAACUUUAUAAAUAAUAAUUUAUAGCUUAUAAAUUAUUAUAG
rnacentral:misc_RNA from 1 species